rnacentral:rRNA from 1 species
GACGAACGCUGGCGGCGUGCUUAACACAUGCAAGUCGAACGGUAAGGCCCUGCUUUUGUGGUGUGCUCGAGUGGCGAACGGGUGAGUAACACGUGAGUAACCUGCCCUUUACUUUGGGAUAACUUUUGGAAACUGGGGCUAAUACCGGAUAGGAGCACCUGCUGCAUGGUGGGUGCUGGAAAGUUUCGGUGGUUGGGGUUGGACUUGCGGCUUAUCAGCUUGAUGGUGGGGUAGUGGUAUAGGAUGGCUUUGACGGUUAGCCGGCCUGGGAGGGGGACCGGCCACAGUGGGACUGAGAUGGGGCCCAGACGCCUCCGGGAGGCAGCAGUGGGAAAUAGUGCACGAUGGGCGGAAGCCGGAUGCAGCAACGCCGCGUGCGGGAUGACGGCCUUCGGGUUGUAAACCGUUUGCGCCUGUAACGAAGCGUGAGUGACGGUAACUGAUAAAGAAGCACCGGCUAACUACGUG